UAGGAUGACCAACUGUCCCGGUUUGCCUAAGACUCAGAGGUUUUCUGGGAUGUAAAAACAAUGUACUAAAUGUACUAAAACAAUCCUGGGCAAACUGGGACAGUUGGUCACCCUAACAAGGA
rnacentral:pre_miRNA from 1 species